CUUCUUCUUGUGCUCCUCGUCCUCGGACUUGUACUUCUCCGCCUCCUGGACCAUCUUCUCGAUCUCCUCCUUGCUGAGCCGCCCCUUGUCGUUGGUGAUGGUGAUCUUGUUCUUCUGCCCGGUGGUCUUGUCCUCGGCGGACACGUUCAGGAUGCCGUUGGCGUCGAUGUCGAAGCAGACGGUGAUCUGCGGCACGCCCCUGGGGGCCGGGGGGAUGCCGGAGAGCUCGAACUUGCCCAGCAGGUUGUUGUCCCUCGUCCGCGUCCGCUCGCCCUCGUACACCUGGAUGAGCACGCCGGGCUGGUUGUCCGAGUAGGUCGAGAAG
rnacentral:lncRNA from 1 species